AGCCAGGAUUUACCUGGUUACGAAGUUUUAUGUGAAGGAACAGACUGUCGCAUAAAAAAGCAGAGAUGAUAAGCACUGCCAGAAAAUCCAAUACAUCUAAUCCGUUUAUCAUAUAUGACUUCUACGAUCAACUUGAGAAGAUAUUUGAGCAAUAUCCAACUUUGAACGCAUCACGCAUUUGGAAUUGUUAUGAGAGUGGCUUUCCCACAGAUCCCUCUAAAGGAAGAGUUGUCUCCGUAAAUGGUCAACGCGCACUGAAACUUCGUUUCGGGGCGGGACGUGAGAACAUCACAGCCCUUGGUUUUUGUAGUGCUGCUGGGGUUGUUUUGGAUCCCUUGAUAAUAUUUAGAGGCAAGAAUAUGCAAUCUAGUUGGUUUGGAGAUAUGGCGCUGCCUAACACAUAUUACGGAAAGUCCGAGAAUGGGUGGAUGGACUCUGAAGUAUUUGCAACCAUUUUGCGGAUACAGUGACUGACAGACCACUUCUACUGCUGUUAUAUGGAUAUCUUACCCAUAUCUCCAUCCAGGUUAUAUCCCGCGCACCGGCUGAAAAUAUUAUUAUACCUAAGUUCCCGCCACACGUAAUGGAUGUUAUGCAGCCAUUGGAUGUUGCUUGCUUUGGACCACUUAAGCGUCUUUGGGAGAAACUUCUCCAAGAACGUGUCAAUACGUUCGGUCCAAAACAUCAAAUGACCAAAUCUGAUUUUGUUAAUCAGUUGUGCAAAAUAUGGAACGAUGGAAUGCACAAAGAAAAUGUAAUCAGUGGCCUCGAAUCAACAGGUAAACUUAAAUAAUAAUGUUGAUUAUGCUCAAGUAAUUUUUACACUUAAUAACUUGAAAUAAAUUUGAUUUGCAGGAAUAUGGCCAAUUGAUAGGUCAGAAUAUCCUAAACAUCGGUUGGAUCAAAGACUUGUGGCAAAGUAUGAGGAGUGGAAGAAAACUGGGAACAAGCUUGAUUGGGAUAAGCUUGCGGAAGAGAACGUUGAUCAAGCAAUUUGUGGAACAAACGAAGCUCUUGACGCUGUCCCAACUCCUGCUACACCAACAACUGAUGUGGAAGCUGUUAUUGUUAUAUCUUCCGCCACACCAAACUUAAAUCAGGUUAACUUUC